UGGGGAAUAUUGCCCAAUGGGCGCAAGCCUGAUGCAGCCAUGCCGCGUGUGUGAAGAAGGCCUUCGGGUUGUAAAGCACUUUCAGCGAGGAGGAAGGGUAGUGUGUUAAUAGCACAUUGCAUUGACGUUACUCGCAGAAGAAGCACCGGCUAACUCCGUGCCAGCAGCCGCGGUAAUACGGAGGGUGCAAGCGUUAAUCGGAAUUACUGGGCGUAAAGCGCACGCAGGCGGUUUGUUAAGUCAGAUGUGAAAUCCCCGCGCUUAACGUGGGAACUGCAUUUGAAACUGGCAAGCUAGAGUCUUGUAGAGGGGGGUAGAAUUCCAGGUGUAGCGGUGAAAUGCGUAGAGAUCUGGAGGAAUACCGGUGGCGAAGGCGGCCCCCUGGACAAAGACUGACGCUCAGGUGCGAAAGCGUGGGGAGCAAACA
rnacentral:rRNA from 1 species